UACAGAGGUCUCAAGCGUUGUUCGGAUUCAUUGGGCGUAAAGGGUGCGUAGGCGGCGCGGUAAGUCGGGUGUGAAAUCUUGGAGCUUAACUCCGAAACUGCAUUCGAUACUGCCGUGCUUGAGGACUGGAGAGGAGACUGGAAUUUACGGUGUAGCGGUGAAAUGCGUAGAUAUCGUAAGGAAGACCAGUGGCGAAAGCGGCUCUCUGGGACGGUACUGACGCUGAGACGCGAAAGCGUGGGGAGCGAACAGG
rnacentral:rRNA from 1 species